UGUAUUUCCCGCUCAGGGCCAAGAAGACGGAGGAAUGACAACAAGUCAUAAGGAAACAAACUGAAACCAUUUAAUCCUGAGGUUUACUGUCUUUACUUGUCUCAGCUGGAGCUUCAGAUAAAUGCUACGUGCUGUAACUUGUUAGCAUCUGUAAUCUGUUGUUGUCCCACAGCGGGAAUAUUCACAUAUUUGCCUCCAAGCCAGAAUAGAAGACCCGUCCUGCAGACGCCAUGAACGCCAUGAACAAAGCAACCUGCGGUAGAAGAAGAAAAGAGACGAAGAUUUCACCAGCAGACUGGAAAAAAACUCUGAACUCCAUCAUCGAACAGCUGAGUGACUUACAGUACCGUAAGAUGCUGGAAUAUCUGGAAAGAAUUCCCAGAUAUCUAAAGAAUUCCGAGUGCAGAGUAGAGAUGACCCAGAUAAUGAUUGAACACUACGGAGAAGAGGAGUCCAUCUCUGCUGUCAGAGAUGUGAUGGAGCAGAUGCUGAAGUCCAGGUCCUACUGCAGCCCUUCGUAGACAAACUGAGGAAGAAACGGGAGACAAAGAAAAAGAAGAUGUCAACAGCCUGGAAAAACACAAUGAGGAGCAUCUUCAAGCAGCUGAAAACAGCCCAGUACAGGCGGAUGCUGGAAGUUCUCAGUCUUCCAGCACCACAAAGGAUGUCUGCUAAAUUUAAAAAUGACUUGCCCCAAAAAGUCCUUGAAAACUUCGGAUUAGAAAAAUCCAUCAUUAAAAUCCAGGCAGCGAUGGCAGAGAUUCCCAGGAAAGACCCUAAAGUCCAGAAUCUGCUGCAGCCCUUUGUGGACGAACUGAGGAAGAAGCAGGAUGAAGAGUAAAAGCAAGCAGCAGGUGGAGAGUCCGUGGAAAGACUUCGACAGCAGGGUGGACUUCUAGAAGAAACUGGAUCCAACCAUCAUUUUGUUCAUGUUUAAUAGUCUCAGUCAAAUGUUUACUGAACAAAACUACUUUCUCUUCCACCAUAACCCAGGACAAUAUUUCAGGGGAUCUUUUUAAAACAUUUUUUAAUCAUUACUUCUACAUUUAGCUGCAUUGUUUGUUUUACAGAAGCUUCAUCCUAACAAGUCCUACAGAUGACUAGUCAGGCCUUCUAACCAGUUUUAUACCAGACUUUCUUAAAUGGGAGCACAUGUACCUGCUGAGUGUGUGGAGACUCUCCAGGGUUACAUGAGAAAGUAAGGAGGGAUAACUUGUUCUAUCUUUUUUAUAGCUCUUCAAUGUUCUCAUCAUACCUUUCUGGGGGUCUGUUUCAGUUAAUGGUGGCAGUUUGACGUCCUCCUCUGAACGCUUGUCCCCACGUUCUGGCCACCACUGUUUGCCUUGAACAUGCUUCCUCAGGGUCAUUUGAUGUGAACUUUCAGAGUUUAUCUUCUCACAUAUUUGAUCUUCAGUAGAUGUUUCUUGUAAAAAUAAUGACUCGUCCAAAUAAUCUGUCCUGUUAAGCGGCAUCAGGUCCAUCAACGACGGGAUGAAGCAUAACUUUUUUAUACCCAGUGGUGGAGGUCCUUGUCUCUGCUCCAUCAAGUAAUAGAGAAACUUGAUUUUUAUCUUCUGCAGUAAAACCAGCUGUACGUAAUCUGGGUGUCUCUGAGUUUGAAUCUGGACCAGCAUGUAAAUAAUUUGUGUCGCUCCUGUUUCUAUCACCUGAGAGACAGACCAGAUGGGAAUUCUCUCCUUAAUUUUCUCCCGUUUGGAUUAAUUUUCCAGGACUUUGGACCAAAAACCAUCAGAAGAGGUCACAUCCCUCCAGUCUGGCAUUCCUUCCAGUGUCCCUCUAUCAGAUCUAGAUCUAGAGUAAAAUCUCGUGUACAGAGCCUUGCUCUGCUGCAGCGUUGCCAUGGCAGCAGGGAUCUGGGGUGGCUGGUCUCAGUCGAGACUCGUUUCAGGCUGUCGCCCCAGAAACGCUGAAUCUAUGAGCAGCUUAAAACUUCCUUAUUUAAACAAGCUGUUUCUUAUUUUAUUGAUUUUACGUUAAUAUUUGUUUUUUAUUUGAUUUACUCAGCGCUUAAUGUUGUUUUAAGUUGUUUUUUUUACGUUGUC